CCUAACGGCCUAACCUAGAAUUAGAACUCAUCUCACCUCUCUUUUCUCUCGCCACUCUGUGCCUCAAGCCCGUCGCUGGCUCCUCAAGCUCUGGUCGCCCCCUCAAGCUCGUCGCCGCCUAACCUCUGUCGCCGCCUCAAGCUCGCGCCGCAGCCUCAAGCUCGUCGCAGCUCAAGCUCUGUCGCGCUCUGUCAUAGUUCGUAAGCUCGCCUUCCUGCUUCGGCCAUCAACGCUUCCUCGGCCCUGAGUCUGGGUUUAGGGUUUCAGCUUCAGCCCGGGUCUUCCAUCAACGCUUGCUUCGUCUCUCUGUCUAUGUCUCACCUGUUGCCCUCUUCCCCAAACGCCACAAGAUAGCGCCCCGCUGCCACCAUCAUCACCCCGAUCCCUCUAUGCUGUUGUGGAAACGAGUCCAUUUCCACAAUGCUUCCGGACUGCUCACAAGGUUCCUCCCUUGCCGAUCGCAGCACCACUCUUCCGCUGACGCAGACGCCGCCGUCGUCACGCGAGAUCUCCCUCAUCGUAACCGCCGACUCCCCCUCCGUUUCUGCGUGUGGGUCGCGCUCAAGUUCGAGAGCCUCAUGGAUCAGCAUUCCCGUAACGAGGUAAGUUGCACUCUCGCCACUAAGGAGUGGUGCUCCCUUUACUGGGACGCGCUCCAGCUUCUGAAGAAAUCUGGGAUUUUCAUAAGUUCUGAAUCUGUUAGAGCCCUCAUAAGGACCUAUUCCUAUAUGGGUCUUGCUGAAGAAGCCAUUCAGUGUUUUGAUAGAAUGUCUGAGUUCGAUUGUGAGCCUGAUGCUCACGCCUAUAACACUAUCUUGAAGGUUGUGCUCAAGAAAGACUUGUUUGUGUUGGCUUUUUCGCUCUAUAAUGUUAUGCUUAGGUCUAAUUCUUUGCCAGAUGAUCACACCUACACUCUCUUGAUUGGUGGAUUCUGUAAGAUUGGAAACUUCAAUGCUGCCCUCGAGAUGCUCGAUGAUAUGAGCAAGAGGGGUGUGCUGCCUGAUGUUAAGACGUAUACGGCUAUUAUUUAUGGCCUCUGUCAGUGGAAGAAGGUUGAUGAGGCGUUUAGGUUGUUUAACACUAUGAAAGAAAAUGGGUGCUUGCCUACUUUGCGCUGUUAUAAUGUCUUGAUUAAUGGGUUUUGCAAGAACGGGAGGACAGAUGAAGCGCUUUCUUUGCUGUCUUUGUUGAGGAUAGAUGGUUUUGCUCUUAAUCUGCAGAGUUACUGUUCUCUGAUAAAUAGCUUCAUUCACGCCAAGAGAUAUAGUGAGGCAUAUGUAUGGUACACCAAGAUGUUUAAGAGGGGAAUUGUGCCGGAUGUUACUUUAUAUGCUAUCAUGAUACGUGGUUUGUCCGAAGAGGGUAGGGUUGGUGAAGCUGCAAAGAUGUUAGAUGAGAUGAUUGGGAUGGGUUUAGUACCAGAUGCCUAUUGUUACAAUGCAUUAAUCAAAGGUUUUUGUGACAUAGGUCGUUUGGACCAAGCUAGAUCUCUUCAGCUUGAGGUUUCCAAGGACGAACAGUUUCAUAAUGCUUACACCUACACCAUUCUCAUCUGUGGCAUGUGUAGGAAUGGAAUGGUUGGAGAGGCACGGGAGAUAUUUAAUCAGAUGGAAAAACUUGGAUGUCUCCCUUCAGUUGUGACCUUCAGUGCUCUGAUGCAUGGCCUUUGCAAGGCUCGCAGAAUUGAGGAAGCACACCUUUUACUGCAUGAGAUGGAGAUUGGGAGAAGCCCAUCUUUGUUUUUCCGGCUUUCUCAGGGUUCUGACAGGGUUUUUGAUAGUGUUAGUCUCCAGAAAAAGGUGGAGCAAAUGUGCGAGGCUGGUGAAGUUUUGAAUGCUUACAAGCUUCUCAAACAACUUGCUGGGAGUGGGGUUGUGCCUAACAUUAUCACAUACAACAUUUUAAUCAAUGGUUUUUGCAAAACUGGUAAUAUCAACGCUGCUAUCAAGCUUUUCAAGGAGCUGCAACUAAAGGGGAUCUCACCUGAUUCUAUUACUUAUGGGACACUUGUUGAUGGACUUUAUAGGGCUAACAGAGAAGAUGACGCCUUUAAGAUCCGUGAACAUAUGUUGAAGCAUGGUUGUCAACCUGGAUUAUCAAAUUCUAAUGCCCAUAUGAGCUGGUUAAACAAAAAGGGGAAGGUCUCGAUGGCCUUCAAUCUUUACUUUGAAUAUCUGAAAAGCCUUCCGAGGUGGGAUAAUGAUUCAAUCAACGUGUUGGAGAACCAUUUUAUCAGAGGAAAUGUGAAAGAAGUAAUUCGAGGCUUACUGGAAAUGGACUUCAAAUGUAGAGAUUUUAAUUUAGCUCCAUACACAAUUCUAAUUACUGGGUUCUGUAUGGUAAAAAAAAGUAGAUGAAGUAUUAGCUAUAUUUUCUGUUCUUGGUGAGUUCAAUAUUAAUAUCAAUCCUACAAGUUGUGUACAUUUGAUUGAUAUUCUCUGUGAGGAAGGGAAGCUGGAUGAUGCAGUAAACAUAUUCCUCUACACCCUAGAAAAAAGUUUCAUGUUGAGGCCAAGAAUUUGUAACAAGCUCCUCAAAUGUCUCAUUCUUUCGAUAGAUAAAAAGUACUAUGCUAUUGAUCUUGUUGAUAGGAUGCAGUCCCAUGGAUACUGUUUGAAUUCACAUCAGUAUGACAAAGCAAUGUACGUUAUUCGACGGCUAAGGAGAAGGAGGAGCAAUAAAAUGCAGAAUUUUGAAUGAUUGAAUAACUCCGACUAUUCAAGAUGGAUAUUAUUCUUUAUUCUUUGUUAUGUGAUAUUUUUCAUUGACAGAUAACUGAUGGAGAAAGACUAACGCUUACUUUAUGGUUCACUCGUGAUGGUUCCCAUGAUGAGGAUGUGAAGCUUGUUUCUCUCCUUUCACAACACCUAUUACAUAAGGACAUGGCUGCAUCGUAUCUUCCUCUGCCUGCAUCCUGUGAUAUGUAUUGUUUUUCACAGGAUCAAGCUUCCAAUGACCAGUUUGGUUUUAAUAUGUGUUGGGCCAGACUUCAUAGUCUUGGAUAUGGCAUUUCUAUAUCCGAAGACAGUGCCUGUGACUCGGAUGUAUCUGAAUUACUGGUGAAGCCAGUGCAGUUAGUAAGAGGAGAUGAGUUGUUAGACCAUGAAUUUGUCAAUAUUUUGCAUGCACUGCAGGUCAUCCAUUUCUAUUGUUGGCAAGGAUCUGCCUUAAAGACCAAGGCAUUGAAUGUGCACAGGAACGUGCUAAAACUUUCAGAUAAGGACAAGGAGAAGAUCAACUGUCUGAAGUCUGUACUUUUGAAUGAUGAACAUUUGGUAUUGAAGGUUUUUGGGAGUAUGCCUUUGGAAGAAAAUGGAGGCAUUUGCUUUGACUGGACAGGAAUUGUGGCUGCAAUUGCUGCUUGGGAAGAUUAUGUGACGAAGUUAAGUAAACAAAUUCAUUUAGAGUUGCCUUAUUGGAGAAUGCAUGAAUCUAUAUAUACGGUGCAACUUGAUGAGUAGUAUAGAUGAUCGACCAAUCCCGGAAAAUGGAGCACCUAAACGUUGUGCUUGGGCCUUGGAAUUAGAAAAAGACAAUGAUGAAAAAAGUGGAAGAUAGUUUGUGAAGCUUUGUUUGACAGCAUUCCGAGUUAAUAUGCUUUUGCGGAAUUUUAUAACGAAGUUUCUUAAAGAGAUGAGAAAUUAUACUCAAAUUUAUCCCAGAAAUUAUCAUAGUAUUAAAAUAUUACAGGUACAAGAUGGCAACUACUAAUACAUAUACUUUCAGCUAGUAAAUCAAACUUGUAAUUAUGGCAUUGUAGUAGCAUUCAAUUGGCCAUGCUCGCACUUUCAGCUAGUAAAUCAAACUUGUAAUUAUGCGAAUUCUGUUUCUAUUAAUCCAGAGGGUGACUCUUUAUUUUGGCAAAAGCAGUAACAAUUCA